rnacentral:rRNA from 1 species
CGAAUUGCGCUAUUUACUGUGAAUUNCCGAAUUCAGUGAAUCAUCGAAUCUUUGAACGCACCUUGCG